UACGGGGGGGGCGAGCGUUAUUCGGAAUUAUUGGGCGUAAAGGGCGCGUAGGCGGCUCUUUAAGUCAAAGGUGAAAUCCCUCGGCUCAACUGAGGAACUGCCUUUGAAACUGAAGAGCUUGAGUCCGGGAGGGGGUAGCGGAAUUCCCAGUGUAGCGGUGAAAUGCGUAGAUAUUGGGAGGAACACCAGUGGCGAAGGCGGCUACCUGGACCGGAACUGACGCUGAUGCGCGAAAGCGUGGGUAGCAAACAGG
rnacentral:rRNA from 1 species